GUAUCUCGUCUUGGAGUAGUUGC
rnacentral:piRNA from 1 species